UACCAGCACCCCGAGUGGUCGGGACGUUAUUGGGCCUAAAGCAUCCGUAGCCGGUCAUGCAAGUCUUCCGUUAAAUCCAGCCGCUCAACGGUUGGGCUGCGGAGGAUACUACGUGGCUAGGAGGCGGGAGAGGCAAGCGGUACUCAGUGGGUAGGGGUAAAAUCCUUUGAUCCAUUGAAGACCACCAGUGGCGAAGGCGGCUUGCCAGAACGCGCUCGACGGUGAGGGAUGAAAGCUGGGGGAGCAAACCGGG
rnacentral:rRNA from 1 species